AAACCUUUCUUUUUAUUCAUCAUAAUAUAAUCCAUUUAAAAUAGUAAUUAGAUUUAUUUAUGCUUAGAAUAGAAUUAAUUUAGUGCUCGCCUCCCUUAGGUAUGAUCCUUAGAGUACUCACCUACUCCGUUGUAACUAUAUUAGAACUUGACUCGUACACUUGUAAAUUCCACCUUUCAUAUAUUUUGUGCAGAAUUUCUAUUCUAGAUGUUGGUACAUCCGGAGGUAGUCAAUAAUCU
rnacentral:lncRNA from 1 species